AGAAAAUUCAUAAAAGAUAUUGAAGAGGCUUGGGGGGGAUCAGAAGCCACUGGACAUCAAUGGGAAGGUCAUAUUUUUAUCAACAUAAGAAUGUGCUCAAUGGAUUAGAACAUACUUACGUGUAAAGAGCUCUGAAGUUACAUCUUUGCUGCUAUACAAAAUUAGGACAUGAAGGAAAAGAUAAUGGUUUAUGACCAUGGAAACUCCUGGGACAAGCCUGAAUAUGGAAGUGAAACAUAAAUUGUGCCAGGAUGGCUAAAGUUGUGCCUAGAUAUCUGCACAUCUUUAAGUAUGGUACACAAAAAUAUUAUUAAGUAAUCCAACAGUGAAUGAAGUAGAAGACUACUAAAACUUCUAUCUGUAUCAAUUGUUUAAGGCAAAAUCAAUCAAUUACAUAUUCACAUAUUUUAAUAUUUUUGUUGGACUCAUUCAGAAAAUAGUGUGUGUGAAGCAUUUCCUUACAAAAGUAUGACACAAUUCAGAAGCUGAGAUUGAAAGAAAAGAUUUCUGAAAUCUUAAGUAGUUUAAUUAUAUUAUGUCAUUGUUUUAAUAGAAUUUAUCUGCAUUUAUCAACCCUACUCUUUACAUUUUAGAGGACGUUUGGUUUUCCAAUCAUUAAUCUUCCUGAUUUUGAACAACACUUGUAUAGUAUGUGGCUAUAUAAGUAUAGCUUCUAGAGCCACUCAUCUUCCUUCCUUUCUAAAUUCUUCCAGAAACUUUCUUAUGAAAAAAAUCUGUAUUUGUUUGCACAACUUCAAGAUAUUACGGACAGCCCUUGCUAAGGCGCUUCAUGUCCUAUAUGGGUCAGAUUUGGGAUUUGUUGAUUGUCUAACCUUUAGCUCUAGUUCUGUAGAUGUUCUGUAUCUGCUCAUAUUGUCUUAUACCCUUUCAGGAACCAAAGGGAUGAGCAUUCUGCCAAAACAAGUCAAAAUUAGGUCAUUAAUGGGUCAUUGAUAAAAAAUGGAAAUAUUUUAAGUUUCUGAUACAUAUUUUUAGGGGAAUCAGUGUAUUCUUGCAUGUUUUAAGUAUAUCUAAAAGAUGUUGAUAUCAUAACUGUUGCUAUGUGUUCACAUUUUUGGCUACAAUUAUGUUUUUUUUAUUUGGGGGGAGGUGGUUAGUGUUUUAGCAGCUGCCAGAGUCCCAGUCUUGGUGAUUACUGUACUUAAAGCCACAGGAUGAACUCUUUCUUCAUGAAUAUAAUUUACCUCGUAUAAAAUUUUUUGCCAAAAUCCAUUCAAACAAAUAUAAUUUGGUUUAGUGCUAAAGCAAAGGGUGUACACAGAUAAAUUUAUUUCAGAUAUAGUU